rnacentral:rRNA from 1 species
UACGUAGGGUGCAAGCGUUGUCCGGAAUUAUUGGGCGUAAAGAGCUCGUAGGCGGUCUGUCGCGUCGAAUGUGAAAACCCAGGGCUUAACCCUGGGCUGGCUUCCGAUACGGGCAGACUAGAGGUAUGCAGGGGAGAACGGAAUUCCUGGUGUAGCGGUGAAAUGCGCAGAUAUCAGGAGGAACACCGGUGGCGAAGGCGGUUCUCUGGGCAUUACCUGACGCUGAGGAGCGAAAGUGUGGGGAGCGAACAGG